UACGAAGGGGGCUAGCGUUGCUCGGAAUCACUGGGCGUAAAGCGCACGUAGGCGGAUCUUUUAAGUCAGGGGUGAAAUCCCGAGGCUCAACCUCGGAACUGCCCUUGAUACUGGGGAUCUCGAGUCCGGAAGAGGUUGGUGGAACUCCGAGUGUAGAGGUGAAAUUCGUAGAUAUUCGGAAGAACACCAGUGGCGAAGGCGGCCAACUGGUCCGGCACUGACGCUGAGGUGCGAAAGCGUGGGGAGCAAACAGG
rnacentral:rRNA from 1 species